UACGUAGGGGGCUAGCGUUGUCCGGAAUCAUUGGGCGUAAAGCGCGUGUAGGCGGUCCGGUAAGUCCGCUGUGAAAGUCGGGGGCUCAACCCUCGAAUGCCGGUGGAUACUGUCGGGCUAGAGUGCGGAAGAGGCGAGUGGAAUUCCUGGUGUAGCAGUGAAAUGCGUAGAUAUCAGGAGGAACACCGAUGGCGAAGGCAGGUCUCUGGGCUGACACUGACGCUCAUGCACGAAAGCGUGGGGAGCAAACAGG
rnacentral:rRNA from 1 species